rnacentral:rRNA from 1 species
UACGGAGGGUGCAAGCGUUAUCCGGAUUCACUGGGUUUAAAGGGUGCGUAGGUGGAUUAGUAAGUCAGUGGUGAAAUCUCUGGGCUUAACUCAGAAACUGCCAUUGAUACUAUUAAUCUUGAAUACCGUGGAGGUCAGCGGAAUAUGUCAUGUAGCGGUGAAAUGCUUAGAUAUGACAUAGAACACCAAUUGCGAAGGCAGCUGGCUACACGAAUAUUGACACUGAGGCACGAAAGCGUGGGGAUCAAACGGG